AGGCGUUACCUGCGGAGGGUUUGAGGAAGGCCCAGGAGCGAGCCCAUGGUCUUCCGACGCGGGGCCAGGGGCGGGCCCCAGGAUCCGGAGCUUCGGGGGGGCCGAGUCCGGGUUUGGGGCCCGGGAGGCGGGGCCAGUUAGGUCGAGGGUCCCUGGGAUCGUCGGGUCAGGCCUUGGGCUAACGUAGGCACUCUCGCAGUUCCUCCGCCUUCAGGAAGGUCUUUUUAGCAGGGGCCUUACGGGUGCAUGCUUCGGUCCUGGAGGACUUAGGCUAGCCUCCUCUCCAUCAGCGCCACCCGUCUGGGGCCCGAAAGGAGGGAGCUUUCCCUCUGUCCCCCAGCCUUUGGACUGUCACCAAACAAGCCAUUCGUUCACCAAAUACUUUUUAAGCGCCUACCAUGUGCCUGACAAGGGAUAUGUAACGGUGAGAAAAACUAGGUGUGGUCCAGGCCCUUCAGGGACUCAGGGGCUCGUGGAAGAAGUGGAUAUUGAAGUACUUAUCACACAAAGGAGGAUAAAAGUACGAUAGCGAUAUCUACCACGAAGCUGUUGUUCCACACCAGAACCAAAUGAGCGCAAGAUCUGACAAAAAAAAAAGUCCCUGUAUCCUGAGAUGGAGUCACCUGAGAAUCCACAGCAAGUCCUAACCAGGGAUGGGUCUGGGUGAUUAAGGAAGAUUGGCUUCAGAACUGGGCCAGGGGCACUGCUUUGCUUUUGCUGUUUUGAUCAGCUCUCUGCCUGCAGGAGACGAGGAAAACCAAUGGGAACAGAGAGUCUCCCUCUGUUGCCAGGCUGGAGUGCAGCGGCACGACCUCGGCUCACGGCAACCUCUGCCUCCCGGGCUCCAGCGAUUCUCCUGCCUCAGCAUCUCGAGUAGCUGGGACUACAGGCAC
rnacentral:lncRNA from 1 species